rnacentral:ribozyme from 1 species
UUCCUACUGAUGAGCCUUAUUACUACCAAAGAAUGUCCAACAUUUAUGAUACCGCAUUGAAAGAAUUUGGUAAACCCAUCUUCGAAUGCAAAUGCCCAGCUGUUAUCUUAUAUUUGUACUUCAAAUUGACGAAAGAAGAAAAAGAAGAGUUUCAUCAUUCAA